UUCUAAGGUAGCAUAAUCAUUUGUUAUCUAAAUGAUAACUAGUAUGAAUGGUCUGACGAGAAAAUAACUUUCUAAAAAGAAAUAAUAAAAAUUUAUCUUAAAGUAAAAAAGCUUUAAAAACUUAGAAAGACGAGAAGACCCUAGAACCUGUCUAUCUGCAUAGUUUGUUGGGGUGACAUUAUUUUAAAACAAAUAACUAUUUUAACUCAUUAAGAGACUUAACCUAUCUUUUAAAAAAAAGAAAAAGGUACUCUAGGGAUAACAGCAUAAUCUUCUUUUAGAGCCCUAAUCGACAAGAAAGAUUUUGACCUCGAUGUUGAAUUGAUAUUCCUUCUUAAAGCAGAAUU
rnacentral:rRNA from 1 species